rnacentral:tRNA from 1 species
GCGGCUGUAGCUCAGUUGGUAGAGCAUCACGUUGCCAACGUGAAUGUCGUCGGUUCGAGUCCGAUCAGCCGCUC